GUGCUUGCUUCAGCAGCACAUAUACUAAAAUGGGAACAAAACUGAGAAAAUUACCAUGGCUACUGAGAAAGGACAUGCAAAGUCAUGAAAUUCCAUAUUUUA
ensembl:snRNA U6 U6 spliceosomal RNA